CAAACUCAUUUAAUACAAAUCAGUUCAUUGAAACACUAUAAUACAUAUAUUUGUAUAAAAUCGAUGGAAUCAUAUAAUACUCAUCAUAUCAAAUACUGAAUACUAAAAACUGUCAUCAAACAAGUACCCAGGGAAUAAUCUGAUCAUAUCCGGAUCUCGACGGACGGGCAAUGACGUACUAUCUGGGUAACGUCACUCCCCGGAGCUACAAUGGAUAGAUGGGGACGAUCUCAUCUCAUAUCUCAUAUCUCAUAUCUCUUAUCUCAUAUAUCUGUACUGUGCAUGCAUAAGCCCCCAAAAGGCAAAAGCGCCCGAACACACGGCCCAAAGCCUCUAUGUGUGUCCCGACGGGCCCCAAAGGCCUCUAUCUCAUCUUAUCUGUAUCUCUUGUCUGUAUCUCUUUUCUCAUCUCAUAUUAUCUGUUUCUCUGUAUCUGGAGGGAAGGGUACUGUCUAAUGAUUUCAAAAAUAAUAUAUACAUAAACAUAGAAUCUCAUAUGAAAUCUCAUUUUCUUUCUAUUCAACAUAUCUCAAAAUCUGCUCAAUUCUAAUAUCAUGCCUUUACUAAAAAACGCUAAUAAAAUCAUUAAUCAAACUCAUUCUCAAUAACAAUAAAGACCGACACAUAGAUAAAAAUUAAUUUACCGGAAAAUCAUUUAAUCGAAGCAUUAAAUACUUAUCAUAAAAUCAGCAUAUACUAUGAAAAUAGGUUUUGUAUAUUCCACUCACAGUGAUGAUGUCUAGACUCGGUAUCAACAACGUCCGCGGGUUGAUUCUCGUUCGCGGAUGCGGAUCCUCCUAAUCACGGAAACACUAUAAUUAUUCUCUGUAAAUAGAAAUACAACCAAUUUAAUAUAAUAAAUCUCGAAUCCUAUUAACGAUAAACUAUUCCCACAUGAGUAAAAUUACCAAAAUACCCCCAACAUCAAUAUUUUACCAACUUAUCCUCAAACUUCAUUAUUUUACCAAAUUAUCCUCAUAUUCGUCAAUUACCAUAUUGUCCUCAAUCCAGAUUACAUAAAUUAAUCACAUUGUCCGAAAUUACGAAAUUACCCUCACAAUUUCACAAAGACAAAACUAAGCCCCAAACCCAAUCAGCUAACCCCAACCCAAAUUCAAACCCUAACAGGUGUCGAUCAUCCUCCACGCAUACCGCGUCUCGUUGUCUUAGCCCAUUACUUCGAUCCCCAAAUUUCCAAAUUCACAAAACAAAACAAACCCUGACAGCCGCAUCCUCUCUCGUACGGUUAUCCUUCUCGUUUUGGCAGCUCGUCUACGCCGCUCCACGUUAGCUGGGUCGGGUUUUCGGGUUAACAAGUCCAGCUCUCUCUCUCUCUCUCUCUCCCUCUCUCUCGGGUAUUCUCUCUCAAAAAAAUACAAACCUGUUUCCCCCCUUUUCCAGUUAUACAAUUCUGCCCUUUUUUUUUUUUUUUAAGCUUAAUACAAAUUAAGCUCAAUUCGGACCCGUGAUGAAAAUAAAAUCCGGCCAUCGGCGCGUGUAAUCGCGCUCAAUUAUUCUCGAUAAAAUGUCGUGACGAAAUUAAAAAAAAUUGAUAGCGAAGAGGAAAAUGAAAUCACUCACUUAAUUAAGAAAAUCGGAGUGCAUAUGUUACAAUCCUCCCCUCUUAUAAAAAUUUCGUCCUCGAAAUUUACACAUCUGUUGAGAAUAAGUGAGGGUAUUGAGCUCGCAUUAAGUCUUCACGUUCCCAAGUAGCCUCUUCUCUUGUGUGAUUCCUCCACAACACUUUUACUAGCGGAAUGGUUCUUGAACGCAAAACUUGGUGCUUCUGUUCUAGAAUUUCCACGGGCUCUUCUUCAUAACUCAAGUCUUCUUUCAACUCAAUUGGUUGUCUCGACAACACAUGACUAGGAUCAUACACAUACUUCCAGAGCAUCGAAACAUGAAAGACAUCGUGGAUUCUGGAUAACUCAGGUGGUAGAGCUAAUCGAUAUGCCAACGGACCAAUACGCUCCACAAUCUCAUAUGGUCCAAUGUAACGUGGACUCAACUUCCCGCGCUUACCAAAUCGAAGUACCCCUUUCCAAGGAGAUAUCCGCAUGAAAACCUUAUCACCUACUUCAAACUCAAGUUCCCGCCUACGCUUAUCUGCAUAGCUCUUUUGUCUGCUCUAGGCUGCCUUUAAUCUUUCCCGAAUAAGCUGUAUCUUCUCACUAGUAUUUUGAACCAAUUCGGGACCAAAAAGUUUCCGCUCUCCAACCUCAUCCCAACAUACGGGAGUUCUGCAUUUCCUGCCAUACAAGGCCUCAUAAGGUGCCAUCUCGAUACUAGCUUGAUAACUAUUAUUAUAAGCAAACUCCAUCAAGGGUAAAUAAAUGUCCCAACUACCCCUAAACUCCAAAAUACAAGCUCGUAACAUAUCCUCCAGGGUUUGAAUAGUACGCUCUGACUGACCAUCAGUCUGUGGGUGAAAAACUGUACUGAAGUUCAACUUGGUGCCUAAAGCCUUUUGCAAACUUGUCCAGUGGCCUCCCUGGUGAUCGUGGUUGGUCGGAAAUUGUUGCUGAAGAUGUGAAGAACCAGUUCCAAGUGGUGGCGCGUCACAAACCCGGCGGAAUCAACGGCGACGGAAAAGGAUCUUGGCCGCGACUUUCGAGCUCCAAUCGCCGACGUUCUGGCCAGUUUUCGGCGACGAGGACCACGGGGAUACGACGGUCAGCUUCCAAGCUUCAGAUCGGUACCAAGCACGGCCGGUAAGGUGGCCGGAAACGGGAGAACUCGUCGGGUCAAUAUCGCGGAAUCGGGUCGGGUUUUCAGGUUAACAGGUCCAGCUCUCUCUCUCUCUCUCUCUCUCUCUCCCUCUCUCUCGGGUAUUCUCUCUCAAAAAAAUACAAACCUGUUUCCCCCCUUUUCCAGUUAUACAAUUCUGCCCUUUUUUUUUUUUUUUAAGCUUAAUACAAAUUAAGCUCAAUUCGGACCCGUGAUGAAAAUAAAAUCCGGCCAUCGGCGCGUGUAAUUGCGCUCAAUUAUUCUCGAUAAAAUGUCGUGAUGAAAUUAAAAAAAGUUAAUAGCGAAGAGGAAAAUUAAAUCACUCACUUAAUUAAGAAAAUCGGAGUGCAUAUGUUACAGGAAUGCCGUAAGUUUUAAAAUAAUAGUUGUGCUGGAGAAUAAGCUAAACAUUUAAUAAAAUUUAAUUUUUGAAAGUGUUGUCAAUUUUAAAAGUAUUCAUAUGUAUUUAGUCAAUUUUAUUGUUGAAAUGCUAUAAAAAUAUAAAUGACUAAAAUAAGCAUAAUGCUAAAUAAAAUUUAUUUACACAUUUAUAAACAUGUAUAUAUAAAUUUUUUUAUUUUGAAUAUAUAAUGAUUGACAACUAAAAUAAUUUUUUAUUUGUUAUCUCAGUAUAAUUGGUAAAAGCAAUAAUCUUCUUUAAAUUUAAUACUUUUAUUUCCUAUUUAAAUAAACAUAAUUUUUUAUUUUUAUAAUCUAUGUGAGAAUAUAUCUGAAAUUGAAUUAGAUUUAAAUAUGUUUCUUGAAAUCAGACGUUAAAAUACUACUCAUUUCAUGCCUUGAGUUCUUGAAAACCCUUUUCACAAUCAUCAUUCCACUGGAACUUAGCAUUCUUUCUGGUUAACCUUGUCAGAGGAAUAACAAUCUUGGAGAAUCCUUCCACAAAUCUUCGAUAAUAGCCAGCUAAUCCAAGGAAACUUCGAACUUUAGUCACAUUUGUAGGCCGUUCCCAAUUUACAACUGCUUCGAUCUUUUGAGGAUCAACAUAAAUUCCUUCAGCUGAUAUCACAUGGCCUAGAAAUACUACUUUAUCCAACCAGAACUCACACUUGAUACUAGCUUGAUAACUAUUAUUAUAAGCAAACUCCAUCAAGGGUAAAUAAAUGUCCCAACUACCCCUAAACUCCAAAAUACAAGCUCGUAACAUAUCCUCCAGGGUUUGAAUAGUACGCUCUGACUGACCAUCAGUCUGUGGGUGAAAAACUGUACUGAAGUUCAACUUGGUGCCUAAAGCCUUUUGCAAACUUGUCCAGAACUUAGAAGUAAAUCGGGAAUCUCUAUCUGAAACAAUAGACACAGGUGCUCCGUGAAGUCGAACUAUCUCAGCCACAAAAAUAUUCCCCAACUUGUCCAUCGAAUAAGUGGUCUUGAAUUGUAAAAAGUGAGUAGAUUUGGUAAGUCGAUCAACAACUACCCAUACACUAUCAUGACCACUCUGAGUACGUGGAAGUCCCGUUACAAAAUCCAUGGUGAUGUGCUCCCAUUUCCACUCGGGGAUAGGAAGCGGCUGAGAAAACCCUGCAGGUCUCUGAUGUUCAGCCUUAAUCUGCUGACAAACUAAACACCGAGAUACAAAUUCAGCUAUCUCUCUCUUCAUACCUUGCCACCAGUAAUGAUCUCUCAAGGUACGGUACAUCUUCGUACUACCAGGAUGCAUAGCAUAAGCUGAACAAUGAGCUUCUUCCAUGAUCUCCUUUUUCAACUCCUUAAUGUCGGGUACGCAAAGUCGAUUAUCCAUAACUAAAACUCCAUCAUCUCUCACUGCAAAAUUAGUUCGUAAGCCUUUUUGCACAUCCUCUUUCAACUUCAGUAACUGCAAAUCCUGAUCUUGCAUCUGAUGAACUUUGUCAAUCAAAGUCGGCCUCACUCGAAAAUUAGCUAUUAAAGCUCUGCAAUUAUCAACUUCCAAUUCAACUCCCAAAGAUCUCAACUCAAUUAAUAACGGCAUGUAUGUCCCUCGCAAGUGAGCUAUAGAGCUAAAAGACUUCCUGCUUAGCGCAUCAGCUACCACAUUCGCUUUGCCCGGAUGAAAAUCAAUGGUACAAUCAUAGUCUUUAAUCAGCUCAAUCCAUCUCCUCUGUCUCAAAUUCAACUCCUUCUGAGUAAACAAAUACUUCAAGCUCUUGUGAUCAGUAAAAAUCUGACAUGUUGCUCCAUACAAGUAAUGCCUCCAUAUCUUGAGUGCAAACACCACUGCUGCUAGCUCUAAAUCAUGAGUUGGGUAAUUUUGUUCAUGCUUCUUAAGUUGUCUUGAAGCAUAAGCCACUACCUUCCCAUGUUGCAUUAGCACACAACCCAAUCCUUGCCUGGAUGCAUCACUGUAUACAACAAACCCUUCAGUACCCGAAGGAAGUGUAAGGACUGGUGCUGAAGUAAGACAUGUCUUGAGUUCUUGAAAACUCUUUUCACAAUCAUCAUUCCACUGGAACUUAGCAUUCUUUCUGGUUAACCUUGUCAGAGGAAUAACAAUCUUGGAGAAUCCUUCCACAAAUCUUCGAUAAUAGCCAGCUAAUCCAAGGAAACUUCGAACUUUAGUCACAUUUGUAGGCCGUUCCCAAUUUACAACUGCUUCGAUCUUUUGAGGAUCAACAUAAAUUCCUUCAGCUGAUAUCACAUGGCCUAGAAAUACUACUUUAUCCAACCAGAACUCACACUUGCUGAACUUAGCGUACAAUUGCUUUUGUCUUAAAGUCUGCAAAACAGUCCGCAAGUGCUCCUCAUGUUCCUCCUGACUUCGAGAAUACACCAAAAUAUCGUCGAUAAACACAAUCACAAAUCGAUCUAGAUAAGGGCGAAAUACCCUAUUCAUAAGGUCCAUGAAAGCCGCUGGGGCAUUAGUCAACCCAAAUGGCAUCACUAAAAACUCAUAAUGUCCAUAACGAGUUCUGAAUGCUGUUUUAGGAACAUCGGCCUCUUUAAUUCUAAGCUGAUGAUAUCCCGAGCGCAAAUCGAUCUUAGAAAACACCUUUGCUCCCUGAAGUUGAUCAAACAAGUCAUCGAUGCGCGGAAGUGGAUAUUUAUUACGCACUGUAACUUUAUUCAACUGCCUAUAGUCAAUGCAGAGUCUAAGAGUACCAUCCUUUUUCUUAACAAACAACACCGGAGCUCCCCACGGAGAUACACUAGGUCUAAUAAACUCUUUAUCCACCAAUUCUUGCAGUUGAAUCUUAAGUUCCUUUAAUUCAGCUGGAGCCAUCCUAUAUGGUGCUAUAGAUAUAGGAGCCGUCCCAGGGACUAAAUCAAUAGAGAACUCAAUCUCUCUAUGAGGUGGCAUCCCUGGAAGUUCAUCUGGAAAUACAUCUGAAAACUCUUGGACUACUGGAAUAUCCUCCAAUCUCAACUCCCGAACUCCAGUGGCUAUUACGUAUGCCAGAUAAGCUGAGCAACCUUUCCUUAGUAAGCGUCUUGCAUCAAUGGCCGAUAUGACACAUGAGGGUAAAAUUCUACGCUCACCACAAAAUUUCACCUCAGUUUCUCUUGGUUUGUUGAACACAACUUCCUUUUUAAAACAAUCCACUGUAGCAUGGUGAGACGCAAGCCAAUCCAUGCCCAAAAUGGCAUCAAAAUCUUGAAUGUCUAGAAUAAUCAAAUUCGCCUUAAAUUCAUGCUCGCCCAAUCGAAUCAUGCUAUCUUGAUACACCUUUUCAGCAAGUAAUGACCCUCCGGUAGGUGUACUAACAACUAAACCAUAAUCCAGCAAUUCAGGCUCUCUCUCUAGAUGCAUACUAAAUGUGCGAGAAACAAAAGAAUGCGUGGAUCCAGGAUCAAUAAGAAUAUGAGCAUCAUGACCAAAGAUAGAUAAUGUACCCAUAAUAACUUCUGGUGUAGCAUGAGCCUCCUGCUGUGUCAAGGCAAAAACUCGAGCCUGAGUACGAGGUCGACCAGGUUGACCUCUCUGACUUGGAAAAGUGGUCUGACUCCUCGAUAUAGAACCCCCUGUCUGCAUACCCCUCUGACCCGGAACUGGUCCAACAUGAGAUUGAUACUGUGGGGCUGCCCCUCGAGCAGAAUUGUCACCCUGAGAUAAAGUAGGGCAUAAUCUCUUAAUAUGUCCAGGUUGUCCACAUAAAUAACACACAUUGUCUCCGAUACGGCACUGGCCCUGAUGGUUCCUACCACACGUAGGGCAAGGAGUCUGUUGUAUACUCCUACGGGGUCCUUCGCUAUUCCUGUCAUACUGCCCCUGAGUCCUAACAUUACUCCCCACUGAAGGCUGCGCCGAACCUGGUUUAUUGAACACAACUUCCUUUUUAAAACAAUCCACUGUAGCAUGGUGAGACACAAGCCAAUCCAUGCCCAAAAUGGCAUCAAAAUCUUGAAUGUCUAGAAUAAUCAAAUUCGCCUUAAAUUCAUGCUCGCCCAAUCGAAUCAUGCUAUCUUGAUACACCUUUUCAGCAAGUAAUGACCCUCCGGUAGGUGUACUAACAACUAAACCAUAAUCCAGCAAUUCAGGCUCUCUCUCUAGAUGCAUACUAAAUGUGCGAGAAACAAAAGAAUGCGUGGAUCCAGGAUCAAUAAGAAUAUGAGCAUCAUGACCAAAGAUAGAUAAUGUACCCAUAAUAACUUCUGGUGUAGCAUGAGCCUCCUGCUGUGUCAAGGCAAAAACUCGAGCCUGAGUACGAGGUCGACCAGGUUGACCUCUCUGACUUGGAAAAGUGGUCCAGGUUGUCCACAUAAAUAACACACAUUGUCUCCGAUACGGCAUUGGCCCUGAUGGUUCCUACCACACGUAGGGCAAGGAGUCUGUUGUAUACUCCUACGGGGUCCUCCGCUAUUCCUGUCAUACUGCCCCUGAGUCCUAACAUUACUCCCCACUGAAGGCUGCGCCGAACUGUAACUAGCGGAUUGUCUCUGAUCUCCCCUGCUACUCAUACUCUGAUUCCUUUGCACACUAGCAGAGUAAUUUGUAUACGCGCCUCUCUUCGGCGGCCUGCUACUCGAGCCACCCUCUGUCCAACUCUGGCUACGUUUCUGCUUCAGAGCCUGAAUGAACUCAGUGUACCAUGAUGCCGUCACAGUCGUACGAAUCUCAAAUCGGAGACCCUCUUCAAAACGCUUACAUCUCUCCCUCUCAUCACCAACUGCUGAAAUGGCAAAUCUAGAAAGAUCCAAAAAUUUCUUCUCAUACUCUUCCACUGACAUAGCUCCUUGAACCAAUCGAAGGAAUUCACUCCGCUUAAUAUCCUGAUACACAACCGGAAAAUAAUGAUCGUAGAAUUCCUUACGAAAUAUAGCCCAUGUAAGCGCAGCAUGCCCUUGGUAUCUUCGCUCUACUGUUUGCCACCAAUGAUAAGCCCUAUCCUUGAGCAGAAAAGUGGCAAAUGAAAGUCUAUCCUCCUCUGAGCAUCUCAUCACAUCAAAAAUAUGUUCUAACUUGAUAAGCCACGACUCUGCCUCAGGUGGAUCACCAGAACCAUUAAAACUCUUUGCCCCUAAACUUCGAACACGCUCGACAGUGUUCACUUGACCGACAUGCGGCUGAGCCUGAUUCUGAACCACUGUAGUCACAAUCUAAGCUAAUCUAUCAAUGGACUGCUCAAUGUUCGGAGCAUUUCCUGGUGCCUGUUGCACAACCUCGUGCGUCGAAGACUCAACUAUUCCCUCGUCAACGGGAUCAUUUUCCCCCGCAGGUACAUCUCCUGAAGUCAACCCAGGUACUAACCUAGUACGGCCACGACCACGGCCACGGCCACGUCGACUGCUACGACGAAUCAUAAUGGUGCCUACAAAAUAUUAAAUCCGACUUUAAUAAUCAAAACUUAUUCUAUUUACGACCGUAAAGUCUACAGAAUCUAAAACCAUGCUCUGAUACCAACUGAAACGACCCGCCCCGCAACUCCCCAGGGCGAGUCUAUCUAAACUCGUAAAAUCGAAACUAUUCUAUAAAAAUUUCGGCAGAGUCUCCCUUAUAAAUAAAACAUAUCCAAUCCUGCAAAUUAUAAAGCAACACUCCCAAAUAAUUUAAUAUCCAACCAUCCUCUAUAACCAACUUCUCAAAUCAAUAUAUCAAACAUCAUCCAAAUCAUCCUCAUAUCAAAAUACAUCGAUUAUCCUUAAUAACAUAAAAUAAUAAAUAAACACAGCUCGCAAAAAUCUCAAAUAUAAUAAUAAUUAAAUCCACGACUCCUAGCACCAUCACGUGGCCACAAUAUCACACUAACGUUCGCUACUGGGUUGACUGAUGUACCUGUAAAUCUCCUGUAGGGGGGGAAAAUAUAAAAUAAUAAAAGAGGGGUGAGUAUAAAACUCAGUAAGCUCAGUGAGUGGAUAGUAGUUACUGACAAUUUAAUAAAUUUAUUUAAAAAUGAUUUAAUCUUUCUCAAAUCAAUUUCUCAAAUUGUUUCUCAAAUCAAUUUCAAUUUCUCAAAAUAUCAUAAGAACUUGCUCAAACUCAUUUAAUACAAAUCAGUUCAUUGAAACACUAUAAUACAUAUAUUUGUAUAAAAUCGAUGGAAUCAUAUAAUACUCAUCAUAUCAAAUACUGAAUACUAAAAACUGUCAUCAAACAAGUACCCAGGGAAUAAUCUGAUCAUAUCCGGACCUCGACGGACGGGCAAUGACGUACUAUCUGGGUAACGUCACUCCCCGGAGCUACAAUGGAUAGAUGGGGACGAUCUCAUCUCAUAUCUCAUAUCUCAUAUCUCUUAUCUCAUAUAUCUGUACUGUGCAUGCAUAAGCCCCCAAAAGGCAAAAGCGCCCGAACACACGGCCCAAAGCCUCUAUGUGUGUCCCGACGGGCCCCAAAGGCCUCUAUCUCAUCUUAUCUGUAUCUCUUGUCUGUAUCUCUUUUCUCAUCUCAUAUUAUCUGUUUCUCUGUAUCUGGAGGGAAGGGUACUGUCUAAUGAUUUCAAAAAUAACAUAUACAUAAACAUAGAAUCUCAUAUGAAAUCUCAUUUUCUUUCUAUUCAACAUAUCUCAAGUCUGCUCAAUUCUAAUAUCAUGCUUUUACUCAAAAACGCUAAUAAAAUCAUAAAUCGAACUCAUUCUCAAUCAUAAUAAAUAUCAACACAUAAAUAAAAGUCAAUUCGCUGGAAAAUCAUUAAAUCAACGCAUUAAACAUUUAUUUCUCAAACAUACUGUACUAUAUAAGAAAAUCAGCAUAUACUAUGAAAAUAGGUUUUGUAUAUUCCACUCAC
rnacentral:lncRNA from 1 species